GACGAACGCUGGCGGCGUGCUUAACACAUGCAAGUCGAACGGAAAGGCCCUGCUUUUGUGGGGUGCUCGAGUGGCGAACGGGUGAGUAACACGUGAGUAACCUGCCCUUGACUUUGGGAUAACUUCAGGAAACUGGGGCUAAUACCGGAUAGGAGCUCCUGCUGCAUGGUGGGGGUUGGAAAGUUUCGGUGUUUGGGGAUGGACUCGCGGCUUAUCAGCUUGUUGGUGGGGUAGUGGCUUACCAAGGCUUUGACGGGUAGCCGGCCUGGGAGGGUGACCGGCCACAUGAGGACUGAGGUACGGCCCAGACGCCUACGGGAGGCAGCAGUGGGGAAUAUUACACAAUGGGCGGAAGCGUGAUGCAGCAACGCCGCGUGCGGGAUGACGGCCUUCGGGUUGUAAACCGCUUUCGACUGUGACGAAGCGUGAGUGACGGUAAUGGGUAAAGAAGCACCGGCUAACUACGUG
rnacentral:rRNA from 1 species